GCAAAAGCAAAGCAGCAGCAUACAUACGUUGCUUUAUGCUUUGGCAAAGAGGAAGGGGGGAAGCAUGAAACAAAGCAGCAGCUGCAUCAAUAUGGAGGAGGUAUCAAGCAAGGAAUCAUGCACUCUUUAGUCGCAAGCAGAGAGGAGGAGCCAAUUUCAUUGCUCUCCAGCUUCUGAGGGCAAAGCCUCACACCCAUGCAUUAGCUGUUUAACAAUUGACGAAGCAGAUAGGAGUAGUUCAAAAUUUUCUAUCCAAGUUUUUGCUAUCUCAGGCUUCUCAUCUGCUGUCUGCUGUUAAGGUGGUUCCAAGAUCUUGAACCGAUGGGUUAGAUAGAUUCAUCAGAUUUGCAGCUGAUGAAGAUUUAUCCCGACUAGUUCUCAGCAUAUGAAGAUUUAUUAAGUUGCGCUCCUGCUUUUCUCUCUCGGUCUUGGGCGGAGGAAUUCAUCAUGACUAGUAGUCACCAGUUGAUGAUUGGUUAAGUUUGCUGCUGCUUUUCUUUCUUGGUCUUUCACAGAUCACGAGUUGAGUUCGAUCCACGGUGGUGCUGAGAUCUUGAACGGACGCGUUAGACUGAUCAAAUCUGCAGAGCAGAUUUUCUCUCUUGGUCUCCAAGGAGUAUUUCAUCCUGAGUAGUUCUCCUCAGUUGAACAUUGAUUUAAGUCUUUCGGUUGCUCCUCUCUCGCUCUUUCUCAUGGUCUUAAACGAGGAAUUCAUCACGUCUCCCCAUCAGAUGAAGAUUAGAUC